UACGGAGGGAGCUAGCGUUGCUCGGAAUUACUGGGCGUAAAGCGCGCGUAGGCGGCUUUGUAAGUUAGAGGUGAAAGCCUGGAGCUCAACUUCAGAAUUGCCUUUAAGACUGCAUCGCUUGAAUCCGGGAGAGGUGAGUGGAAUUCCGAGUGUAGAGGUGAAAUUCGUAGAUAUUCGGAAGAACACCAGUGGCGAAGGCGGCUCACUGGACCGGAACUGACGCUGAGGCGCGAAAGCGUGGGGAGCAAACAGG
rnacentral:rRNA from 1 species